UACGGAGGGUGCAAGCGUUAUCCGGAUUUACUGGGUUUAAAGGGUGCGUAGGUGGAUAAUUAAGUCAGUGGUGAAAUCUUCAGGCUUAACCUGGAAACUGCCAUUGAUACUAUUUAUCUUGAAUACUUUGGAGGUAAGCGGAAUAUGUCAUGUAGCGGUGAAAUGCUUAGAUAUGACAUAGAACACCAAUUGCGAAGGCAGCUCACUACACAGUAAUUGACACUGAGGCACGAAAGCGUGGGGAUCAAACAGG
rnacentral:rRNA from 1 species